rnacentral:rRNA from 1 species
ACUUAAAUUGAAGAGUUUGAUCAUGGCUCAGAUUGAACGCUGGCGGCAGGCCUAACACAUGCAAGUCGAGCGGUAGCACAGAGAGCUUGCUCUCGGGUGACGAGCGGCGGACGGGUGAGUAAUGUCUGGGAAACUGCCUGAUGGAGGGGGAUAACUACUGGAAACGGUAGCUAANACGCAUAAUGUCGCAAGACCAAAGU